UACGGGGGGAGCAAGCGUGGUUCGGAUUUACUGGGGGUAAAGGGCGCGUAGGCGGCCUCUGCAAGUCGACUGUGAAAUCUCCGGGCUUAACCCGGAAAGGUCAGCCGAUACUGCAGGGCUAGAGUGCAGAAGGGGCAACUGGAAUUCUCGGUGUAGCGGUGAAAUGCGUAGAUAUCGUAAGGAAGACCAGUGGCGAAGGCGGGUCUCUGGACAGUUCCUGACGCUGAGGCACGAAGGUCAGGGGAGCAAACGGG
rnacentral:rRNA from 1 species